GGAUGCGGGUGAGACAGGUGGGGAGGUGAUGAUGGCAAACAUCUCUGGGAGGGAGCUCCGGGCAGAGCGGGCUUUGGUGUCGCGGUAGACGGGGUCUGCCAACUUCUAGGCUGCCAGAGUUAACGGCUUAGCUGAUUUGGCAUGCUGGGAAAAAUCUGUAUGCAUAAUUGGAGUCGAGAUGUACCUUAGCUUGCCUUGGGAACCUGUGAAUUUGAACACUCAAAUGGAAGAGCAGAGGGUUCACAAUCUUAUUAGAAGCUUCUAACAGCGUUAUUCGUGGGGAGUUUAAUUGCGCUGUAACGGUGUAUUGGAAAAACUAAUUUUUCUUCUUUCCAUUUGCAGCUCAAUAGUAGCAGUAGCAUUAUAAAUGUAAGGAUUGCUAUAGAGCACUGGGUACCUUAGAUACCAUCAAGCAAACCAUCUAGCAAUUCCCGAGGCCCAAGAAAAUCAGCCGCUAAUAGUUUUGAUGAUCUUUAUUUGCAAUCCCACAAAGAGUUCCCUUGUGAUGAAGCAAGAGUUCUCCUGAAUUAUGGACAACUUCUCGUUUUCUUUCGUCCCACCAAAUCAUCCCGAAGAUGAUUUCCUUCCCACUUUCAUUCUGAAGAGCUGGUGAAAGCCUUUUAGUGAAACUUGGUGUCACUGAGGAGGAAAGAAAUUGGAAAGCCAUGGAAAAAUGGCUUAUAUUGGAUCCAGGAGCUCCCGCAGAGGAAGACGUUAUCUUUAAUCCUUUUUGUCUCAGGCAGACACUGCAAGAGAUGACAAGGUUCAGCAAGAUGACUCGGGCCAAAUUUACUUUUUUCCAUCUAAGAGCCAAAGAGUGGGAAAGGAAGACCAGAUCAGCAGCAUCAGGUAACAGUGCGAGCCCAGGUAGCAAUUAUAAUAGAUAUACACUCUUGGGUGUAAGUCAUUGGUGUGAGAACCAGGAGUAGACGAGAAGCCGGCUAAAGAAUUAUAACCCUCAAGGAAGAUGCACCCUGGGACGUCAAGGGCAUAAUGUAUAUGGAAUGUCAUUGCCCUCAAAUAUCAUUCCUAUCUGACCAUCAAAAAGAACUGGCGAAUUUAGUCCCUCAGAAGAAAAGAAGGAAUGAGUGGAUCUAUUAUUAUUAUUAUCAUAUAUUAAAUGUAUAAAGGUCUAGCCCUAGGCAAAAUUUGUGAAUUGAGUCUACUCAUUUUCUCUCUGCGUCUCUACCUACUUCAAGAAUCCAAUACCCACCUUCUUGCCAUUUCUCUCACUCUGCUCUUAGGAAAUACUUCAUUAAAUUUAUUUACACCGAAGCGAAGACUCUGACAGCCUUGGAGAGGGAAUAAGGGGCCAUAGGCCUGAUGCUGGCUUCGUUACCACUUUGUCCUGGGGUGUAUGUCAGGUGAACUGUGUCACCUCUUUGGGCUCCAGGGUCCUCACUGAUACAAUGAGAGGGUUGAACUAGGUGAGUGAUAUUUCUAGAACACUUUCGUCCCCAUGAUUCUAGGUGGGAAAGACAGGCUAAACAUUAGGCUAAUUUUAGGCUAAAAUGUUAGGCUAAAAAUGUUACCCUCGAAUAUGGCAUUUAAAUGGAAGUGGAGCUGACAAAGCCCUACACCGUAGAAAUGAAGCUUGACUUGAGGCAUCCACUGGGACACAGGGAAGUAUUUGGGGGUGUGUGUUUGUUUGACUAGAACUGCUGAGGUCAUAUCACAUGAAUGGCUGCCAUACAAGAACCCAAGACUGGACCUACGUGUGUAUCUUAAUGUAACUUGAGUUGGGCCAUAGUUCACACAAGAGCCCCUAAUUGGACAAGAGAUUUUUGGAAGCUACACUUUUCCAGGGCAACAUUAGUGCAGAGAAGCAACCAUUCAUGAAGGGUUACUCCAGUGUCUAAAAGAGCUA
rnacentral:lncRNA from 12 species